rnacentral:miRNA from 1 species
CAAGUACCCGCUGGUUUGCUUG